rnacentral:rRNA from 1 species
AGCAGUAGCCGCGGGAAUACGUAGGUGGCGAGCGUUGUCCGGAAUUAUUGGGCGUAAAGGGAGCGCAGGCGGACAUAUAAGUCCAUCUUAAAAGUGCGGGGCUCAACCCCGUGAGGGGAUGGAAACUGUAUGCCUUGAGUGCAGGAGAGGAAAGCGGAAUUCCCAGUGUAGCGGUGAAAUGCGUAGAUAUUGGGAGGAACGCCAGUGGCGAAGGCGGCUUUCUGGACUGUAACUGACGCUGAGGCUCGAAAGCCUGGGGAGCGAACGGGAUUAGAUACCCCUGUAGUCCCUGUCUCUUAUACA